AGACCCGAAACCCGGUGAUCUAGCCAUGGGCAGGUUGAAGGUUGGGUAACACUAACUGGAGGACCGAACCGACUAAUGUUGAAAAAUUAGCGGAUGACCUGUGGCUGGGGGUGAAAGGCCAAUCAAACCGGGAGAUAGCUGGUUCUCCCCGAAAGCUAUUUAGGUAGCGCCUCGUGAAUUCAUCUCCGGGGGUAGAGCACUGUUUCGGCUAGGGGGCCAUCCCGGCUUACCAACCCGAUGCAAACUGCGAAUACCGGAGAAUGUUAUCACGGGAGACACACGGCGGGUGCUAACGUCCGUCGUGAAGAGGGAAACAACCCAGACCGCCAGCUAAGGUCCCAAAGUCAUGGUUAAGUGGGAAACGAUGUGGGAAGGCCCAGACAGCCAGGAUGUUGGCUUAGAAGCAGCCAUCAUUUAAAGAAAGCGUAAUAGCUCACUGGUCGAGUCGGCCUGCGCGGAAGAUGUAACGGGGCUAAACCAUGCACCGAAGCUGCGGCAGCGACGCUGAUGCGUUGUUGGGUAGGGGAGCGUUCUGUAAGCCUGCGAAGGUGGCCUGUGAGGGUUGCUGGAGGUAUCAGAAGUGCGAAUGCUGACAUAAGUAACGAUAAAGCGGGUGAAAAGCCCGCUCGCCGGAAGACCAAGGGUUCCUGUCCAACGUUAAUCGGGGCAGGGUGAGUCGACCCCUAAGGCGAGGCCGAAAGGCGUAGUCGAUGGGAAACGGGUUAAUAUUCCCGUACUUGGUGUUACUGCGAAGGGGGGACG
rnacentral:rRNA from 1 species